rnacentral:rRNA from 1 species
UGGGGAAUAUUGGACAAUGGGCGAAAGCCUGAUCCAGCCAUGCCGCGUGUGUGAAGUAGGUCUUCGGAUUGUAAAGCACUUUAAGUUGGGAGGAAGGGCAGUAAGCGAAUACCUUGCUGUUUUGACGUUACCGACAGAAUAAGCACCGGCUAACUCUGUGCCAGCAGCCGCGGUAAUACAGAGGGUGCAAGCGUUAAUCGGAAUUACUGGGCGUAAAGCGCGCGUAGGUGGUUCGUUAAGUUGAAUGUGAAAGCCCCGGGCUCAACCUGGGAACUGCAUCCAAAACUGGCGAGCUAGAGUAGGGCAGAGGGUGGUGGAAUUUCCUGUGUAGCGGAGAAAUGCGUAGAUAUAGGAAGGAACACCAGUGGCGAAGGCGACCACCUGGGCUCAUACUGACACUGAGGUGCGAAAGCGUGGGGAGCAAACAGG